GAACGAGCUGUGAAAUUCCCUGACUAAAUUCAGUUUGAUCUUCGUUAUGUUCCUAUGAGUGUUUAAAGUUGUGUGCGUCCAGAGAGAAAACCACACACUCAUAUGCUGACACUCCUCAGGACAUACAGCAAAGACGAUACCACUUAGUACCCAUAUACAUGCUCAUCUUCGAUCUGUGCACAGAGAGCACUGUUUAAUACAGCUCAUUAGGAUCUGGCUCCCCCUCUUCAUAUGCUUGUAUAAAUAAAUCUGUUAAACUGGAUUCCUUCUCCGACUUUGGUGUUCUUACCGACACACCCGGACCAGCUUCACAUCAUUAGCAACAGCUAGUCCCUUACAGUCCUUAGCCCCUCAGCUACAUUUUGGUCCUUCGAGCCGGAUACAAGCUGCUCCGGGAACAUGCAACAAAAUGGUGAAGCAUCCUGGGUCCCAUCGACUCGACCUAAGAGGCAGCGGAGACCGCCACAGUAUCUUGAGGACUAUGAGGUUGGUCCAGUGAGACCACAGACACGUCUCAUCUUGUACAAGUUUGUUACAGCAUAUGCAUGAUCUAGAGGGGUGGAGCUCUCACCAUGAGGGAGCGGCUAUGAUGAUGCCCGCUGAAAGAACACAUGUCACAAGGUCCCCUCGUCAGGUUCAGUGGGAGUCUGAUAUUAGUGAGCAUGAUGAAGACUACUCUCCCAGCUAUGAUACACGUUCAACUGGCCGACGUGCAGAGUGGACAGACACUCCGACACCCUUUGCAAGAGACGAAAAUGAGCUGUAUGAGAUGCGAAGAGAGAACACAUCAUUAUGCCGAUCAGAAGAGAAAAGGCAGAGCGGCCAUGCACAGCUUUGGAGUAUUCAGAGGGAAAUGCAUUCUCCGGUAGCCUCAGUUAGGACAGAGCAGGGGGCACGACAAGAAUCGUGGCCAGUACCACCCCCUCCUAUAAAGGAUCACUUUUCGACCCGAAGGGAAGAAGAGGAGUAUGACGACUGGCUGCCGCCUCCACCAUGGCCCUCUGCUGAACCACCAUCAAUGCCUCCAGAGGGUGAGGAGACCCAGAUGGUCACAAUGAUAGAUAGAAUGAUGAAGGAACUCCAGCUAAUCAGAGAUAGUGCUGUAUCUAACUCAGCAACUAGAAGUAAUCUGUCUUCAACCCCUAAGAGACCACCAGCUAGGAAGUUUCAUGAUACUCAGCCUCUGACUCACGGGUCGCAUUUUUACUCACCAGGCAUCAGCUCUCCUCCUGUUAUGGACUCGGCUAAAUCUGGGCCUUUACCUAAACACAUACCAGGACCUCACAUGACUCAUCGUACCCCCUCUCAAGACAUACCAUACCAGCCUUUAUCAGCUAUGGUGAAGGAAAAAGAAUACCAUGGGCCAACGCCGAAAAUUCCCCUCUUCAUCCAUAGGGACCCCAUGGAAUUCUCCCGCCUGAAGCUUGCCCUAAUGAAUCUGUUGCCAAGGGAUGCCACUGAGCUCUUCAAAUAUCAGGUUCUCGUGGACCAUCUGAGGUUGGAGGAGGCUUGCCUUAUAGCCGACUCAUACAUCAAUUCGCAUACGCCGUACUCAGACACAAUGGCUGCAUUGAAUGAGAAGUUCGGGCAGCCACAUCAAGUCGCCUUAAAGAGGAUUGCUGCUGUCAUGGACUCACCAGAGAUAAGGCGGGGUGAUACAGCAGCCUUUGAGAAGUUUGCUUUGCAUGUUCAGUCGUUAGUGGGCAUGUUAAAGACCCUGGGCUCUGAUGGAGAAGUUGAGCUGAGAUGCGGCUCACACGUUGCACGGCUGCUCACGAAACUUCCGCCUGAGUUGAGGGCAAAUUUCAGACGUCAGAUGUUCCAUCGACCUGGCUCUACUCAUAACCUGCUUGACUUAGCAGAGUGGCUCCAGUAUGAGUCGUGGUGUCAAAGUUAUGACACCCUAUCUGACACCCGAGUCCAAGGGUCACUGAGCCACAAAGCUGAGAAGCGACACAGUAGAUCAGCGGCUACCGUGCUACAUGGGGCAGAGAGCUCUGGAGGUAGUAAGGCCACAAAGCAAGAUGGUCAGAGUUCCUCAGAUUUCAAAAGGAGAGGCAAGAUAAAGCCGUACUGCCCAUAUUGUGAGAGUUCAGAACAUUUUCUGAAUAAGUGCCCAGCCAUUCAGAAGUUCACAAGGGAGGAAGUCAUAGAGUGGAUCAAGGUAAAUAAAAGAUGCUGGAGAUGUGGGAGGGCCCACCUAGCUGCACAGUGCGACCUCAAAAGACUCUGUGACCUGUGCCAAGGAAAGCACUUGAGAGUUCUCCACAGUGUGAACACCCGUCCCACUGCAGAGCCACCCAAAGUAGAGAGUUGUCUAGUGAACAACGGUACCGAGGUUCUUUACCUGGAUCGGCCAUCAACUUCCACUCGUGUCCUAUUAAAGGUUGUGAGAGUGCUUCUUCGGAACAAGGACCGAACUCUUGACACCUACGCGGUAUUGGAUGAUGGAUCGGAACGCACAAUGCUCCUUCCAGAAGCUGUUGACCGACUUGGUUUGCAAGGUAGACAAGAGGAUCUUGUCCUUCGCACAAUACGACAGGAUGUCCAAACCUUGAAGGGAUCAUCCGUCUCAUUCUGCAUAUCACCCCUUGCACAUCCCAGAAGAAGUUUUCAGGUAGCCGAGGCGUUCACCUCACAGCGUCUCAGUCUUGCUGAUCACUCAUAUCCCAUCUCCAUGUUGAAGAGGAAAUAUAAGCAUCUGGCAGACCUCCCUAUUGAACCAUUCGAGCAUGUCAAGCCACUUGUAUUGAUAGUAGCGGAUCACCCCCAUCUGCUCGCUCCAGUCGAGCCAGUGAAGUUAGGCCCUCCAGGGGGACCGGCAGCUAUCCGUACAAGACUGGGUUGGACGCUUCAGGGACCGACUCACCUCAUCCAGUGGAUAGCAUGCGCAGAACAGUGCCUCCUUACCAGUGUUUCACCGCAGACAACAGAGUUGAUGAGAAAUGUUGAGAAACUCUGGCAGAUGGAUGUGCUGCCUUUUCAGAGGGACAAGAUGGCAGUGAGAUCGAAGUAAGACAAGGAGGCAAUAGAGCACCUGGAGGCAAAGACAAGGAGGGUUGAAGUUGCUGGCAUCUUUCGGUAUGCUACUCCGUUGCUACGGAAACAAGAUAUGCCCCUGUUCCGCGCAUCCAAAGAGGCGGUUCUACCGAGCUUGAGGAGUACAGAGAAAAGAUUGGCUAAGGAUCCUCAACGUGCCAAAGCUUACUGUGAGGCAGUCAAUCAGCUGGUACAAUCAGGAGCUGUUAAGAAGUUGGGCCCAGAUGAGAUCUCAAUGACUGGUGAAUCAUGGUACAUACCUCAUCACCUAGUUAGCCAUAAUGGGAAGAACCGGCUUGUUUUCAACUGUUCCUACCAGUUUCGUGGACUGAAUCUGAAUGAUGCCCUUCUUCCAGGACCGACCUUGGGCGCAUCUCUUCUUGGGGUCCUGCUGCGCUUUAGGCAACAAGCAGUAGCAAUUAGUGGAGAUAUCAGGGGUAUGUUCCACCAAGUCCAGCUUCUGCCAGAAGACCGGCCACUUCUCAGGUUUGUGUGGAGAGAUAUGAAGCGAGAGGAUCCCCCUGAUACCUUCGAAUGGCAAGUUCUGCCUUUUGGUACCACCUGCUCACCUUGUUGUGCCACCUUUGCUCUUCAACGGCAUGCUAGAGAUCACAGUGUUCCAGGGGAUGGUGUCAGAGACUCUGUAGAACGCUGUUUCUACGUUGAUAAUUGCCUUCAGAGCGUGUCAACUGCAGCUGAAGCCAGAGGAUUGGUCGACAAACUCAGGGAGACUCUGGCAUCGGGUGGAUUUGAGAUCCGUCAGUGGGCAUGUAACAUCCCGAGUGCCAUCGGACAUCUGCCAAAGGAAGCAAGGUCGGACAGUAUGGAGCGCUGGCUCUCACAUGAUGACACAGGUCUGUCUGAAUCAACUCUUGGACUUAGUUGGCAUUGGGAAUCAGACAUCUUGGGGUAUAAGAGCCGCCCACUGGACUAUGGCAUACUGACUAUGCGCAAUGUGUAUAAAGUUCUAGCUCGGCAGUAUGACCCUCUGGGUUUCAUAUUACCCUACACAACCCGCGCCAAGUUGCUUGUCCAAAGAAUGUGGGAUAAGCACCGUCACUGGGACGACCCCCUCCUCCCUCAGGAGCUCCAGUUAGCUUGGAAAGAGUGGGAAGACGAACUCCAUCUGUUGCCUCGCAUAACCUUACCUCGAUCUUAUGUUCCAGCUCACGUGGGUCAAACGGUUGUCUCUAGACAGAUCCACAUAUUCAGCGAUGCGUCGGAGAAAGCCUAUGGCUCUGUUUCUUACCUGCGGACCGAGGAUGCCCAAGGCCAAGUCUACCUGUCCUUCCUGGCAGCGAGAUCAAGAGUCGCUCCCCG
ensembl:lncRNA